rnacentral:lncRNA from 1 species
GUUGUGUCAGAAAAAAAUAUAUCUAUGUAUCAUAACAACUUUCAGGUAUAGAGAUAUGAUUUUUUUCUGAGGCAAGUGCUUGUGAUCCACUGGAACUUGCGGUCAUCCGAUGUUCAGUACUUCGAUCAGUACUUGUAGUGUGAAUGCAAUGGUUUAGAUUAAACUGAUAGAGAUCCUUAGGAUUAAAUAUGAUGUGAAGGCUAACUGGUCUUAUUUAGAUAGUUUAAAAAAAUGCUAGUGCAUGAACAGGGUCUAACACACAGGAAAAAGCCAAAGUUUUUAUUUUGUCUUUUAAUUUAACAAGGUGUUUUAACAAGUAAAAUUAAAAUUAUAAUUUAUAUGUUUAACAAUUGGUGUUAGACUUCACUUUUUUUGAAUGAAUGAUUAGAAUGUAGAAAGAUUAAAGAUCAUAGUGCUAGAAUACAGUGCUGUAAGUAAUAUUUGGCAACACAUGGGCAUUAGUCUGGCAUUCUAUGCAAUAGAAAAAGAGAUGUAAUACAAAUGUGAAACAAACUUUGUUUUUUAUUAAAUUCACAUGCUUCACAUACUUCUUAAUUAUUCAAAUAAAAGUCGAUGCAUUUCCCAUGUGAAAGACAU